CAUAUGGAGGAAAUGCCAUGGCAAAGGGUCAUCCCUUUGAGCCGGAUUGAUGAUGAUUUCCCUGAUGAUCAAUCCGGCUGCGGUGCGGUCAUACUCCUCAAU
rnacentral:ncRNA from 1 species